UUCUGAGCUUCAUCAGCUCCAUUACUACUUCACCCAACAAAAGUCCCUGGUGCUCCCUACAUACAAAAAUAUACUCAGGUUCUUCUACCAAAGAAGAUACGGAGCCAGCCGCACGCCCUGCUUCUGGAGCAGCAGCUACAGCUACAGAUGCAGGGGCAAGUGUGAGGACUCGGGGCCUGUCAGGCCUCAAGAAGCACGGCCGCCGGGAUGCAGCGCCUGAGACGAUGUGACCCUCUGCCUCCCUCCUACGAAGACCCAUACGAUUCUAUGGGUCCUGCUCAGAUAAUCCAGGAUCAUCUCUUCAUCUCAAGAUCCUUCGCCACAUCAGGUAAGUCCCUUUGGUCAUGUAAGAUAACACAUCCAGAGUUCUGGACAGUAGGACGUGGACAUCUUCAGGGCCAUCGUUCUGUCUCGCAUGUUUGCCCAUCAUUGAUUAGUUUUCUCCAAAUCCCUCUCCGCCCGCUGGGAUCCUUCUAUCUACCUCCAGCACCCAGAUCAGCCGCCAUUACCUGACCCACACCCACCGGGGCAGACGGACCACUCACCUCUUCUCUACACCACUUUGCAUCUA